GCCUGACAAAGUUGCAGACCUGGCGGCGGCCACGCGUUUGCGUGCGUGUGUGAGUGUAUGAGAGCGCGGCCGGAGAUGCAUGCGCGUGUGCGGGUGCUCGAGGGCAAUGGCCGAACGGACUUAAAAAAAUAAAAGCGAAUUCCAGCUCCGGUUGCAGCUAAAGAAGUGCGAGAGGGGACAGUUUGCGCUGGGACAGCGUCCGCCCGGGCUCCUGACUCGCAUCACACCCGCAUCGGGCUGGGAAAGUUUCCUCUUUCUGCCUGUUGGAAUUCACUUGAGAUUCCCAGCCCCGAGGAUUGGAGAAGCUUCCUGGAUACAGUGAUGCUGGGGCCAAACUGGGCACAUAUGGGAAUUCCUGGCGUUGUGACGCUUUGCAUUAAAAAAAAAAAAACCGCAAACUAUUUGAGAUAGGAGCAGAGCACUAGAUAUAGGACUUAGCCUGAGCGACUGCCCCAUCUUCCUCUUUUCGCCUCUCUUUGGUGGGCCUUGGUGCCAGUGCCAGAUGCUCGCCCCUCCCACAGUCCAGACGGAUUCCGGGCUGGGCUGCAGGGAUCCAGGUGACUGACUGGACCUGCAUCAUUUCCAGGUGGGGGGCUGGGAGGCCCAGGCAGCCCUGAGUCAGCCCGCCGAGGAGCAUUGCGUGCCCCAGAGGCUGGAGCUUGAAAGGCAACUUUACGCGUCUCCAAACAUACUCUUCCAUUUUCCCAAAGCGCGACUCGCCACCCCAUUCUGGUUCCCUUUACUCUUCAUUCAUCGGAUGGAAAAGGUCAAAAAAUUCUCCCCAAACCCUAAAAACAAAACCCGAGGAAAUUCUCUCCGUCUCUUUUCCUUGUUCGAGCUCCCUCCCCAAGCACGGCCGGGGCUGGAUUGCCCCCGACCGCUUUCUCCCCUGGCCUGCGGAAGCAGGGAGAAAGUUGGGCGCCGCUCGGAGCGUCUCUUCCCCCGCUGUGUGUGUACGUGUGCACGCUCACGUCUCCCCGGCGCCUGGGCUGGGGACAGGAACUGCUCCGGGCACCGUCAGUCCGACGGCGCUGCUCUGGGGGCUUGCAGGGCUGGGGGAGGGCGGGGAAGCGAGCGCCGCGCCACUCACCCCGGGUUGACGCUCCCUCGCCCCUCCCCCGCCGUCUCCAUCCUCCUCCAGGAGAACAGGGCGCAGAUUUGAAAUGUAUGUCCAGCGACCAGUGAAGACCUCCAGCUCAACAGAGAAAAAUGGAAGCUUUGGUCCCCAGCCGCUCCGGCGAAGAACCAAAGAUCACUGCGGUCUGAUUUUUACAGACUCCGUACCACUGUUGCAGCCUGUGAUUCUGAGGUGCAAAAUUGGCCAGCCCAGAGAGAUGAGCAAACUAAAGUCCAAAGACGAUAACUCAACUUGCUGAAGACCAUAUAAAUGUCAAAGGCAGAAUGGACCAAUUGCUUCGGCUUUAAUUUCCGGCGCUUUACAAAGGCUGAGCCGAAGGCUGCACCGCCAGAAGCUUGAGCAAUGGCAGAGAAUCAGAGUGGUGCUUGCCCACCUGGAACUAGUGGGAUGAAAUGGGUGCCCCCGAGGAGGCCCGUGCAUGCAGUUCUGGCGAUGGUUUCGCCACCUCACCUGAGCACAUCGGCUCCCGGCUUCCGACUUCCUGUUCUCUAGGGCAGGUGCACUGGGUAAAGCAGACCCCGUGGCUGAGAUGGUGAAGAUACUGCUGCCAGCUUUCAUAUUUAUGAAGCGUUCUGUGACCCGAGGCUGAGAAUCCACAGAGGCUGGCCAGAGAUAACAGGGAGGAGAAGCCAGAAGCCUCUGCAGUUGUGGUGUGGAAUUUGCAGGAGUAGCCUGGGCCAGCGUCCACAGAAUUGCCUGCGUGCCCCACAGGGUCAUGUUAGCACACCAUGUUUGCUAACUCUCUGUGAACCCAAACAAAGAGGAGACACCCUUGGCAACCUGAGUUGUGCCUUCCUCUCGACUCCCCAGAUCGGGCGUUAUCCUUACAGCUGACAGCACAUUCCAUCUACUCGGCAAUGUAGAACUAAUGAAGAUGUGCCAUGCCGUGGGGCAGCCCAAGCAGCCACGUGGAGAAGCCCACGAUUCUUCACUUGUGGAUAGCCCAGGUGAACUCCCAGUCACGUGAGUGAAUCAUCUGGAAAAUGCAUCUUCCAGCUCCUGCCAAACUGACCCUGCUGAUGCCACUUGGAGUAGUUAUGAAUUGUCCCCACCAGGCUCCACCCAACUGCAAAAUCAUGAGCAAAUAAAUAAAUGAUCGUUGUUGU